rnacentral:rRNA from 1 species
ACGAUGAAUCUUCUAGCUUGCUAGAAGUGGAUUAGUGGCGCACGCGUGAGUAAUGCAUAGGUUAUGUGCCCUUUAGUCUGGGAUAGCCACUGGAAACGGUGAUUAAUACUGGAUACUCCCUACGGGGGAAAGUUUUUCGCUAAAGGAUCAGCCUAUGUCCUAUCAGCUUGUUGGUGAGGUAAUGGCUCACCAAGGCUAUGACGGGUAUCCGGCCUGAGAGGGUGAUCGGACACACUGGAACUGAGACACGGUCCAGACUCCUACGGGAGGCAGCAGUAGGGAAUAUUGCUCAAUGGGGGAAACCCUGAAGCAGCAACGCCGCGUGGAGGAUGAAGGUUUUAGGAUUGUAAACUCCUUUUGUUAGAGAAGAUUAUGACGGUAUCUAACGAAUAAGCACCGGCUAACUCCGUGCCAGCAGCCGCGGUAAUACGGAGGGUGCAAGCGUUACUCGGAAUCACUGGGCGUAAAGAGUGCGUAGGCGGGGUAAUAAGUCAGAUGUGAAAUCCUGUAGCUUAACUACAGAACUGCAUUUGAAACUGUUACUCUGGAGUGUGGGAGAGGUAGGUGGAAUUCUUGGUGUAGGGGUAAAAUCCGUAGAGAUCAAGAGGAAUACUCAUUGCGAAGGCGACCUGCUGGAACAUUACUGACGCUGAUGCACGAAAGCGUGGGGAGCAAACAGGAUUAGAUACCCUGGUAGUCCACGCCCUAAACGAUGGAUGCUAGUUGUUGCCUUGCUUGUCAGGGCAGUAAUGCAGCUAACGCAUUAAGCAUCCCGCCUGGGGAGUACGGUCGCAAGAUUAAAACUCAAAGGAAUAGACGGGGACCCGCACAAGCGGUGGAGCAUGUGGUUUAAU